UACGUAGGGUGCGAGCGUUAAUCGGAAUUACUGGGCGUAAAGCGUGCGCAGGCGGUUUUGUAAGCCAGAUGUGAAAUCCCCGGGCUUAACUGGGGAACUGCGUCUGAUACUGGAUGGCUUGAGUUUGGGAGAGGGAUGCGGAAUUCCAGGUGUAGCGGUGAAAUGCGUAGAUAUCUGGAGGAACACCGGUGGCGAAGGCGGCAUCCUGGACCAAUACUGACACUGAGGAGCGAAAGCCAGGGGAGCAAACGGG
rnacentral:rRNA from 1 species